CUAACGCUGAUGGGGUGCACGCUGCGUGCUGGGAGCUAGUUGUGGCUUCUCACGUGGAGUGUGCACUUGCACGCUUGGGGCUGGGAGGCGACCCCUGUGCAUCCACCCCACGCCCCGCCCCGCCGCGCGCGCCCCCCUCACAGAGGAAGCACGACCAGGUGAGCAAUGUGCCCUCCGAGGACCGGACCAGUAAGUGAUUCUGGGGGGUCGUAUUCCAGAGCCACGCUCGUGGGAGCCCCCAGGGAAAUCCCUGCCCAUCACCAGACGGAGGCUGGACGGCUUCCUGGGAGGCGAGGCCGGCGGAGUCUGGAAGGACAAGCAGGAGUUCGCGCUGCAUCGGGAGCUGAGAGGUGACUUUUUAAAAUAGGUAUCAUUUCAGGGGAGGGUGGAACGCUCUCGCCAGCCAUUAGCAAGCGCCGGCGUCGCGCCCGGCCCCAGGCCACGACCUGGCGGGCCCGGGCCCGAGGCCCCAGGGCGGCGGGAAGGAGGCUGCGGGGUCCAGGGCCGCGCCAGGGGCCUGCAGGCGAGGACGGCGAGCCCGCCCCGGACUGACCUUCCCGGAGGUGCCGUCCCCCAGCACGACGAUUUUCAGUUGCCGGUCCUGGCUCUCCUCCUCAGAGUCCGACAUGCUGUCCCGGGAACCAGGCCUGCCUCCCCCCACCCCCCGAGGCCGAGGGAGGAAGGGCAGGAGGGGGCUCCGGGGGCGGGGAGAGGAGGAAGGACGGCAGCGGGAGCAGAACCCCCCGCCCGGGUGCCUGAGCCACCACCGGAGAAAUCCGCGCAAAUCACUCGCCGGGCGCCAUCUUGCCCGCUCUGCCGCCCCCCUCGGCGCGGCCACGCCCCCUUCGCGUGACGUCGACGCGCCCCCCCAGCGUCAGCGCCGACCUGCGCCUGCCGAGCCCCCCGGCCGAGCCGGCCCAUUCGCGGGCCUGGGACGGGCGCGACGUUCGAGGCGAGCAGCCAGACCGCGGCCUUACCCUCGCAGGGACUGUAGGCGAUGGGGGGAGUGUAUCACUCAAACGAGGCAGGAAAAUGGGUACCGAGUAGCUGGCAGAUGUUCUAGCAAAUUCUCUUGUAGCCAUCACCCCCGGAGAAGACCCCCGAGACGAAUGGUUUGGCCCGAGGGCGGGGUGACGCCUGGGCUGCGCGCCGCGGUUGCCAUGGGAGCCAGGCGGAGGGACGGAGCCUGUGUCGGGGCGCCCCGGACACGGCUUGUCUGGGGGAGCGCGCAGGGGCGAGGCCCUGGAGCUGGAACCCCAGAAUCGGAUGGUUCAUUGAUCAGUCCCAAGCCCUAAAGUAGCAGUUGUCAAAGCAUGGUCCGGGGAACCCUGGGAGGAGGGGGGGGGGCAGAUAAAAUCAAAACUAUUUUCAUAGUAAUACACCUUUUUUUUUUUUUUUUUUUUUGCCUUUUUCAUGUUCAUUCUCUCGCAGGUAUACAGAGUUUCCAGAGGAUGGAUGAGGUGUAUGACAUCACUCUGGCAGCUAAGGGAGCCUGUGCUUAUUAUUCUGUUUCAAACAUUUCUUAGUGUUAAUAUCAAGGCCGUAGUGAGAGCUAAACUUAAAUAAACAAACGUUCUUUGGGGUUCACAGUAAUCCUUAAGAGUGUCAGGGGCCCUGAGCCCAAAAUUUGGGGAACUGCUCUCCAGUAGGGUAGGUAAAAGACAUCACAUAUUUUUUUUUAUAUAAAAUGAGAUAAAAUCGCCCUAACCGGUUUGGCUCAGUGGAUAGAGCGUUGGCCUGCGGACUCAAGGGUCCCAGGUUCGAUUCCCGUCAAGGGCAUGUACCUUGGUUGCGGGCACAUACCCAGCAGGGAGUGUGCAGGAGGCAGCUGAUCAAUGUUCUCUCUCAUCGAUGUUUCUAACUCUCUAUCCCUCUCCCUUCCUCUCUGUAAAAAAUCAAUAAUAUAUAUUUUUUU